rnacentral:rRNA from 1 species
UGGGGAAUAUUGCACAAUGGGCGAAAGCCUGAUGCAGCGACGCCGCGUGAGGGAUGACGGCCUUCGGGUUGUAAACCUUUUUCAGUAGGGACGAAGCGCAAGUGACGGUACCUGCAGAAGAAGCACCGGCUAACUACGUGCCAGCAGCCGCGGUAAUACGUAGGGUGCGAGCGUUGUCCGGGAUUACUGGGCGUAAAGAGCUCGUAGGCGGUUUGUCACGUCGUCUGUGAAAUCCUAGGGCUUAACCCUGGACGUGCAGGCGAUACGGGCUGACUUGAGUACUACAGGGGAGACUGGAAUUUCUGGUGUAGCGGUGGAAUGCACAGAUAUCAGGAAGAACACCGAUGGCGAAGGCAGGUCUCUGGGUAGUAACUGACGCUGAGGAGCGAAAGCAUGGGUAGCGAACAGG